CCCCUCCAGGCCCCGCCCCCCGGACUUCCGAACUCGCGACGCCCGCCCCUCAGCACGCCCGGGGGCCGCGCGGGGUCACGUGGCGGAAGUGCGGCCUCCCGCCCGCCGCGGCCGCUCGCUCCCAAACCGGAAGUUUAUGUGGUUGCCUGGGAGACCGGACGGGGCGCCCCGGGCGGCCCCGUGACACGCGCGGCGGAGCCCACGGAGGCCGGGCGAGCGGGCGCCCCGCGGCGGAGGGAGCGGCAGCUGCAGCCCGGGGCGCGGGGACGGUGAGAAAGCAUGUGCCUAUGGGGUUGGGAUGGAGAAGGUCGGACAGAGGGAGAGGGAGAGAAACUCAAGCAGGCUCCAUGCCCAGCGCGGAGCCUGAUGUGAGGCUUGAACUCAUGACCCUGAGAUCAUGACCUGAGCUGAAAUCGACAGUUGGUCACUUAACUGGGCCACCCGGGUACUCCUCUAAGUCACUUUCUCAAAGUUUAAAGUAAGAAUAUGAAUAUGAAAGGGCAGUAUUGUCAAAAUAUAGCUGUUUUUUUAGGCAAUAGAACCUUCCAAGAAAACAAAUUACCCAAGUUUCCUAAAUAUGAAAAUAUAAAAGUACUGAAAGGUGCAACCAUGUGUAUGUCAUAGUAAACUGCUGAAUGUCUUCACAAUCAAAAGUCGUUUUAAAUCCAAUUAAAAAUAAAUUCCAUAUUUAAGCAUUCCUACUUUGAAGUUUUGGGUUUUCUGUUUAAUUAAAUUAACUGCCUCAGUUCCCUCCAUGUGUCCCCAUCAACAACUGCAAAUCCAUAUGCUCUUCAGGUUUCUAUAUCCUCAGCUAAAGAUGAAGAAAGAACAGAAGCUGAAAGGAAAAGAAGGGAGAUAAGAGAUAAGUUUCUGUCCUUCCAGAGAAGUUCGAAACAGAUGGAUCCUGGAGGUGUUUUAGAAAGAGACCGCAUUCUUCCCAGGUGAACAAGCUACAUUUGAGGAGGCUCCAAUACACAUUUAUGCUUAAGAUUUAAAUAUACUUCGCAUAUUACUAACUUUCAAAGACAAAUAAGAAACAUGUACUAAAGUAUAAUUUCAGGAUGAGGAAAGUGUUCCUAUUUUUUAUAGAUGAGUUUAGGUCAUGGUAUGACUUUGGUUUUAAUUUUAGGUCUUUGAAACUUGAAUAGCUUACAUACAAGUGUCUUCAUAUAAAUGGAAAAAAUACUGGGAAUAUUCAUGGAGAGCAUGCUUGGAUAAAUACCAAUGAGUGCAAAUUUUUGCCAGAAAGCUUUGGAAAUACAGAAGUUGUUUCUUUUUAUAAGUGCUUUUAACCUUUCAAGACCUAUUAAACCAAUUUGAGCAGUUGUUUCUGUCAGAAAUAUUUUCUGCACGAAUAGAAAGAUACCCCCCCACCACCACCACUUGUACCUGAAACCGCAACUUGAUACCAUGCUCCCUAAGCCUCUGUUGAAAUGUCAAGUCCUACUGCUAACAAAUCCCAAAGUCAGAAAAAUUCUACGUUAAAAUUGCCAGAAUCUUUCAUUCAUUCUAUUUAUUGUUACACUUUAAACAAGUUCAGAAAUUUGGGAGGUUUCUGGCUACUUGAGUAAAACACACUGCAAACCGAAAGAGAACAAACGUUAAGUGGAAGAAACGCCUGACUUCUGAGUUGCUCUGCCCUCCUGCACAGUAGCCUUUCCACAUCACUGAAUCUGAACACAGCGUUACCAUCUGCUCCAAGCAGUUCCCCUGACACUGGAGCAAGUCAGAAUAAGUUAAUCUCAUGUCUUAUUUAACAGCAGGCAAGCAACUUUAACAGAGACUUGAGGCUUAGGCAGAUCUCACAUGGUCUAGAAUCCAGGCUUAGAUUUUGUAAAAAGUUUUCAAACAGAAGAAAUUAGAGACACCAGGAUUUAAAACCUCAUAGGAGACAACAAACAGUAUUUCCAGUCCUAACCAAAUUGCAACCCUUUCAUUAUAGCUUGAGGUAUUUGAAAAUAUUUGUACAAGCUUAUUAGCAUUCACAGUUUCCAAAGUUGCUUUUUACUGAGAUCGCUUCAAUUCUCACAAUAUUUGACUUUCUGACGUAAGUUUUCAUACACCAGCAUCUCUGCCCCCACACUCACGGAAAUAUCAGACAGCCAGCUAUUCAGUGGCAGAAAAUGGUUCUUGUAGUAAUAAGGGUUCUAGUUCCCAAUUAUUGUGCUAUUCUUAGGAUGUAAUUAAAAAAAUAAGAAAUUUGUAAUUCAUAUAAAAGGAAAACUUGCUUAAAUUUCCAAAAGCAAGUCCAGUC
rnacentral:lncRNA from 1 species